AAUAGGGGAAUAUAUCAAAAAGAAAAAAAAAAAGAACGCCAAGGGUUGAGGGGCAUAAAAGGAUGGGGAGAGAGCAUCAAUUUCAACCGAAAAAAAGGCCACAAAAGGGUAGAAAACAAUCACAAUCGCCGCCCCCAUCUUGAAAUCGAACAACGUCAGGAACUUCAACACAUCAAUCGAAGCAAAUCAAGAUCCUUACAACAACAACAACAACAACAACAAACCCAGUGUAUUCCCACAUAGUGAGGUCUGGGGAGGGUAAGAUGUACGCAGUCCAUACCUCUACCUCUAAAGAUCCUUACAGUUGGAGUUAAAUUUAAAGAACUGGGCAAAUAGAUAGGUUCGAGCCUGGACAAACAAACAAGUUUUUCUGAAACAAACUAAAACGUCUUGCUGAAGAUGAGAGUGCUUCACACAUUAAAACUUUAGAAACAUUGGGUUAUAUUGUACCAUGCAAGUAAUUUUUUAGUUUAUUAUUUUUCAAUAUUUCUCUCUAAUUUUUUUCCACCAGUAAAUGCUUAAAUCUGAAAUUGAAUGAUUGUAGAACAUGGAUUGAAGGGAUUGAUAUCAACAAAAUAUGAUGUUUAUAGUUAUCUAUCAUGUUGAUAGAAAUGUUUACAAGGACAAAGCCUAAUGAUGAAAUAUUUGAUGAAGAUCUUACCUUGAAGCAGUGGGUGAGCAAUUCACUCCCACAUGCAGUAAUGAAAGUUGUCGAUGCCAACUUAAUAACACCACAUGAUGAUCACUUAAUGAAAAAGUUAGAUUGUGUAGUAUCCAUCUUGUGGCGUUCUUAAGUUGGCAUCUACAACUUCCAUUACUGCACAACCCACUGCUUCAAGGUAAGUUCUCCAUUACACAUUUCAUCAUUAGCCAUUGUCCUGGUAAAUAUUUCUAUCAACAUGAUCCCAUAACUAUAGACAUCACACUUUGUUGACACCAAUCCCUCCCUUCCAUAUUAUACAAUCAUUCAAUUUCAAAGUUACACAUUUACGGAUGGGAAAGAGAAAUGUUCAAAAAUAGUUAAUUAAGAGAUUACUUACCCGGUGCAAUAUAAGCCAAUGUUCCUAAAGUUUUAGUGUGAAACAUUCUCAUCUUGAAAUGCAAAAGUCGCUUAGGUGGGCAAACAUGUCCUAGUCCAACAAGACGUUACUAGGCUUCAAAUCACGGGCAACAAGCAGCCAUAAUGGAGAUAUUCCAAAGCAAAUUGUUAUUCCAAAGCGAAGCGGCCAUAGUGGAAGUUCCUCCUUUCAAGUCUUUCUACUCUACAACCAUAGUUAAAGAUGGUGGCUUUUCUUUUUUGGUUGGUAUUUCACGAUUGUGAUUGUGGCUUUGAAAUCCCAAAUUGGGGGAAUAAUCCAACUCUUUUUAGUUUUGAAUCUAUCAGGUAAACUUGUAGCCUGCAUUGCUCAAUUGACUAAAUGAGUCCCUUUGCUGUGUCAAUGAUCUUUACUGUAAUUCUAAAUUAAUAUGGUUGUGAGCUAUUUGUAUUACAUUGUUAUAUGGUGAGGAAUCAUGAUACAGUUUGAGUGUAAUUGAAAUAGUUUUACUGAGAUAAA